UUAAAUUUUAUUUAUUAAUUUUAUUAGUUUUUAAUUUAAUGUAUUAAAAAUAAUUUUAUAAAAAAAAGUUUUAGUAUUGUUUAAAGAAAAAAUAAAUUUAAUUAUAGUUAAAUAGUAUUGUAAAAGAAAAUUGAAAUAUUUUGAAAAAUUUUUAUUAAGAAAA
rnacentral:rRNA from 1 species